CCCGGCGCGCCCGCAUACGUCACCGGCGCGCCCGCUUACGUCACCGGCGCGCCGCCGGAAGCGAUGCAGUCGCGCAAAGUCGGCCGGAAGCCACGUCCUCCGCUCUUUCCCGGCGGGCUCCCUCUUCGCCCCGUAGGAAGGAGAGGCGAGAGUCGAGGCGGCGGACCGUGGAGGUGACUUUGGAGUAUGGGGCCGGAAGGUGCUGCUAUCCGGCGACUGGUUACAGAGAAGCGAGUUGUAGCUCCAGUAGAAGGUCUUUUGGAAACGUAACCAGUUUGCCUAGAUUAAACAAUGAACGUGCAGGGAUGGAGAGAUGGCUCAGCGGUUAAGAGCACUGACUACUCUUUCAGAGGUCAUUCAAUUCCCAGCACCCACAUGGUGGCUCACAGCCAUCUACAAUUCAAUCUGGUGCCCUCUUCUGGCAUGUAGGCAGAACACUGUAUAUGUGAUAAAUAAAUCUUAAAAAAAAAAAAGGAAAAAACAACGAACGUGCAGACCACAUACGACGGCACAUGUGUAUAAAUUCCUGUAAUUUGAGUAGAAGCAGGGGUCUGAGGCUAGCCUAUGCCAGAAGCCUUGUAGCCCCAGGCGGCCCGCAGAACUGUUGUCAGCUAGGGGUACAGGAAUGGGUCCAUUCCCCCUGCCAACUAAUUAAAAGGCAGGAAAGAUGUGUUAGUGAGAAUCUUGGGGUCCCAGCCGAGCCAGCAUGUGGCACCUGGGGAGUCAGUGUUCCUUCCGAGGGUUCUUACUCAUUAAUAAAAGAAUUUAGGAACACACACGUGGAAGCUUGAGGGACCAAAACCAGGACCAUUUUAGAAAAGAGGGCCGGAAAUAGAGUAUGGGAUCUUCACCCCAUAGCCUGUGCAGACCUGUUCACAUCACUCAUCCGGUUCCAUGAAAAGCAGGCCGUCAAGAAGAACAGAUACCCGGGCUACUCAACAGAGUCACAACACAACUUCUAUGGACACGUAUCCUGCCAAAGAUUAACCUUUGGAAAUUGCCCAAGUUUCUCUAGGCACCCCGACCAAUCAGCUUUGAACUGGUACCCCUUACCCUGUUCUGUGGUUUUAGUCUUUAUAAACCCCUUGCUCACAAGGCUCAGGGCCUCCUGCAGCUGCUGCCUAGGCUUGAAUAAAGAACCCUUGUGCUUGCA